rnacentral:lncRNA from 1 species
AGAAGAAGCAAACAGCCUGCAGAUGGGACACUUAUUCACCCCUGAUGCAAGUGUGACUGGAGCUAUUGAAUGACUGAUGAGAUCCGUUGUAACAAUCAUUCUGGCAAAGGUGUGGAGAUGGCUCAGAGGAUUGAGCUGGGAGCAGGGUGGCCUCAGCCACAUGUGCUACCAUGGCUCUGAGCAGGAUGCCAAGAGGGUCUAACAUCCCUGAAAGAGACAGCCUCUUGCCCUGGAAAGAUGCCAGAGAGGGAAGCAGGAGACUUGAGUUCUGAUCCGGAUCUCUCUGCCGUUGGGUGAUCCCCUGCCCUCCUCUGGACCUCAGUUUCCCCAUCUCUACAGUGAGGAUAAUAAUCCUAGUGCUAUUUCCCCAUAGAAAUGUUGUGAAGCUCAAAGGUGAGACCAAAAUCACUCAUUGGACAAACUCCAGGCAGGGUGGGAGUGUUGGCUGGGUAGAUGUGGUCAUCUGCCAAGUGGCCAUGCUGAGGCUUUGGGGGCUCUACUCCCACCACCAAUGGGGUCCUUCUCAGAGACUUGCACUCUCUUCUUCCAGCUCACUCAUAUUGUGGGGCUCAGAGAAUGUUAAUUAUUAGGGCCCAGCCCACAUGGAGGGCUUAAGAUGAAAGCAAGCUCAGAGUGUAAAGUCUAAUCAAUGCCCCACACUUGGCGUCAGGGCCUCGGCUUGGUCUGCUUGGAGAUGGAUCAUUAAUCUAGACACUCCGACUUGGAACACUGGGCACAGGAAGUCCUGAAACAUUCCUGACCACCCACAGCUCAGCCUGUCAGCCCCAU